GAUGAACGCUAGCGGCAGGCCUAACACAUGCAAGUCGAGGGGCAGCACAGGAAAGUAGUAAUACUUUUGGGUGGCGACCGGCGGACGGGUGCGUAACGCGUAUACAACCUGCCUUCUACUGGGGGAUAAUUCGGAGAAAUCUGGUCUAAUACCCCAUAACAACCGAUGAGGCAUCUCAUUGGUUUAAAAGCUCCGGCGGUAGAAGAUGGGUAUGCGUGACAUUAGAUAGUUGGUGGGGUAACGGCUCACCAAGUCGACGAUGUCUAGGGGGACUGAGAGGUUAACCCCCCACAAUGGUACUGAGACACGGACCAGACUCCUACGGGAGGCAGGAGUGAGGAAUAUUGGUCAAUGGACGCAAGUCUGAACCAGCCAUGCCGCGUGCAGGAAGACGGCUCUAUGAGUUGUAAACUGCUUUUGUACGAGGGUAAACCCAGGGACGUGUCCUUGGUUGAAAGUACCAUACGAAUAAGGAUCGGCUAACUCCGUGCCAGCCGCCGCCGUAA
rnacentral:rRNA from 1 species